AGCAGUGGGGAAUAUUGGACAAUGGGGGCAAGCCUGAUCCAGCCAUACCGCGUGGGUGAAGAAGGCCUUCGGGUUGUAAAGCCCUUUUGUUGGGAAAGAAAACCAACGGGUUAAUACCCGGGGGGGAUGACGGUACCCAAAGAAAAAGCCCCGGCUAAAUUCGUGCCAGCAGCCGCGGUAAUACGAAGGGGGCAAGCGUUUUUCGGAAUUAUUGGGGGUAAAGCGCGCGUAGGGGGUCGUUUAAGUCUGAUGUGAAAACCCCCGGCUCAACCUGGGAAAUGCACUUGAAACUGGGGGACUAGAGUGUGGGAGAGGGGAGUGGAAUUCCCGGUGUAGCGGUGAAAAGUGUAGAGAUCUGGAGGAACACCCCUGGGGAAGGCGGCUCCCUGGACCAACACUGACACUGAGGCACGAAAGCGUGGGGAGCAAACAGGAUUAGAUACCCCGGUAGUCCACGCCCUAAACGAUGAGAACUGGAUGUUGGGGGCAAUUUGCCCCUCAGUAUCGAAGCUAACGCGUUAAGUA
rnacentral:rRNA from 1 species